UACGUAGGGUGCGAGCGUUAAUCGGAAUACUGGGCGUAAAGCGUGCGCAGGCGGUUAUGUAAGACAGGUGUGAAAUCCCCGGGCUUAACCUGGGAACUGCAUUUGUGACUGCAUAGCUAGAGUACGGUAGAGGGGGGGGAUGGAAUUCCGCGUGUAGCAGUGAAAUGCGUAGAUAUGCGGAGGAACACCGAUGGCGAAGGCAAUCCCCUGGACCUGUACUGACGCUCAUGCACGAAAGCGUGGGGAGCAAACGAGG
rnacentral:rRNA from 1 species